rnacentral:rRNA from 1 species
UACGGGGGGAGCAAGCGUUGUUCGGAUUUACUGGGCGUAAAGGGCGCGUAGGCGGUCAGCACAAGUCAGUUGUGAAAUCUCCGGGCUUAACUCGGAAAGGUCAACUGAUACUGUGCGACUAGAGUGCGGAAGGGGCAACUGGAAUUCUCGGUGUAGCGGUGAAAUGCGUAGAUAUCGGGAGGAACAUCUGUGGCGAAGGCGACACCCUGGACCAGCACUGACACUGAGGCACGAAAGCGUGGGGAGCAAACAGG